rnacentral:lncRNA from 1 species
AUCUUUCCAAGCAAACAAGACUCGCAUGUGUCAUCUUCCCUAAGGUCGAAUGACUCCAACACUCCAUCCUUUUGGAGUUGGGCUAUGCGCUUCUUGUUGACAUGUCCAAGACGACAAUGCCACAAGGAUGCUUUAUCCAUACUAUUGGAAGAAUCUAUGUUCAAAACAUCAUUUCCUAAGUUAUCAACAAUCAUAACAGUUUCAUAAAUUCCAUUACACGGUAUUGCUUCAAAAUAAAAGACACCAUUUAGAUAAGCCAAAAUAGAACCAUUCUCAUUAUUAAAAGAAAAUCUAAAUCCUUGUCUAUAUAAACCAUGAAAUGAAAUGAUGUUUCUUGUCAUUUCUGGCGAAUAGCAACAAUUGUUCAAAUCUAAACACAAACCAUUCCUAAGCACUAAAGAAUACACUCCAAUCUUGGUCACAGGCGACGAUCUUUUGUUCCCCAUGAUUAGAUUUAUUCUUCCAUGCUCCAUAUCCCUAUUUCUUCUUAGUCCCUGCAAUUCAGAACAAAUAUGGUAACCACAACCGGUAUGAAGGACCCAAGAAAUAGCAUGAGAUGAAUCGUUAGAUUUAAAUUUAUAAGUACCUGCAAAAGAUGGCUUGAUCUUCCCUUCCCUUAUGGCUUGCAGGUAGUCUGGGCAGCUUCUCUUCCAAUGCCCUAUUUUAUGGCAAUGAUGGCACUCUGCCUCCUUAGGGUUAGGACAGGGUUUAGCAGGAUCAACUUUGGUCCCACUAGAAGAGGAACCAUCUCGGGACUUUCCCUUGCGGUGGCUCUUAGACGGAGCCUUCCUCUUCUUGCCUCUUCCUUGCCCAAUGGCCAAAACAGGAGCAGCAGGUGGAUUGGGAGUGGGUGCAACGGACUUGUCCUUGAGGUUGCUUUUAGCAACCCUAAGGAGACAUUGGAGCUUACUUAGAGUGACCUCUUUCUUGUUCAUGUGGUAGGUCAUCCUAAAUUGAUUAUAACACNGUGGUGGCACUCUGCCUCCUUUGGGUUAGGGCAGGGUUUAGCAGGAUCAACUUUGGUCCCACUAGAAGAGGCACCAUCUCGGGGCUUAACCUUGCGAUGGUUCUUAGAUGAAGCCUUCCUCUUCUUUCCCCUUCCUUGUCCAAUAGCCAAAACAGGAGCAGCGGGUGGAUUGGGAGUUGGUGCAACAGACUUGUCCUUGAAGUUGCUCUCAGCGACCCUCAAGAGACCUUGGAGCUUGCUUAGGGUGACCUCUUCUUUGUUCAUGUGGUAGGUCAUCCUAAAUUGAUUGUAACUUGGAGGCAAAGAGUGAAGCACCAUGUCGAUCGCCAAGUCUUCCCCAAAGUCAACAUUCAACUUGCGAAGACGGUCGACAUACCUUUGCAUCUUUUGCAGGUGCACGGUAAGAGAUUCUUCAUGACCUAUUUUAGCGGAAAUCAUGUUAGUGAAAAUCUCAUAACGCUCUUGUCUCGCGUUUUGGUGGUAUCUCUCCAACAAGUCUUGGUGCAUCUCGUACGGGUACAUGUCCUCAUAGGACUUUUGGAAUUCGGAGUUCAUAGUGGCUAUCAUGAUGCAAUGUACCUUCGUUGCAUCACGCUCGUGAGUUUCAAAAGCGGUCAUUUCAGCCGGAGUAGCGAUUUCAGGGUUGAUUUUCUCGAGCUUCUCAUCGAGGACAUACUCCUUGUCCUCAUAGCGAGCAAUAGUGCGAAUGUAUCUUAUCCAUUCGCUAAAGUUCGUCCCAUCGAAAGUGACCUUUUGACAAAGGCUCAUCAAUGUGAAUGAACUAGCAGCAGCGUUGUUUGCGUUCGACAUCUACAAAUAGAAAGGACAAAGAUAGAUUAGAAUAUGAAUCCCUAAUUAUCACCCAAUAAGAAAAUUAGGGCUAAGAUCCAACAACAAUGUUUACAUAUUAGAAAAGGAAUGUCGUAAUCUAACAUGCAAAUAAUAUGAAAGUAAGUGAAUGACGAUUCACUAAUUCUCCACCACAAAACAUAACUUUAAGUUCUAAAUGUAUUGAGAAUUCCUAGGUUUAGAUGAGAUUCAUUGAAACUUUUCAAUGGCAUGUUUAAAUCUCGAUAUGCCCCUCUUGUUUGUGACUGGGAUACCGAGGAUCACAAAGCGGGUGUGAAUUACCAUGCAAAUUCACAUGGUGCCUUCAUUGUAACGAUCACCUAUUCGAUGUGCCGGUAAACCACACACGCUCCAUCGAACUAUGAUAAACAAUGAAUCACCCUUUGCCACCUUUGCUUAGAACCAAUUAGUGUGCCGGUAAACCACACACGCUCCACUAACUUCUUAGCAAGGGUGCAAAGUGUAAUUUCAUGGGAUUGCAUCAAUUCACUUUUCCUAAAGUAACUAAGAUUGGGAAAUUUUAAAAAAAUGUAGUUACUUUGUAUUUCAUAUUAUACUUUUAAUGAGAGGAUGAGGUUGCCCUAUCCUACCCGUUCGGCUAACGACCCUCCACCGAUCAAGCAAGCGGUGGGUGUGAGUGUACACCCAUUAAGCGCCAUUUUAUAGGCCGCAACCUUAUACCCACCUUAUAGAUCGGCUUCGUGAAUGAGGCCUACUAACGGUAAGACUAGCAUUUUAGUUAUACAUAUAUAUAUAUAUAAAUCUAGUAAUAUCAUAUUAGUAUAGGGUUGUAUUUUAAACCUUUUAAAAUCUAGGGUUUGAAAUUUAAGUUGUCUAAAUUAAAACUUUUAAUCACAAAUAUAAAUUUCAAAACUUGAGGGCAAGUUUUAAACAUUUAAAACAUGGAGGAUCAAAUAACAAAUAAUUCCAAUUAACAAUUAAUAUCCUAAUUAUCUAUAUUUGAUUUAUUCAAGAUUUCUUUUAAGAUAAUUACCAAAAUAAUCAAAAUAAUUAAUUAAUUAUCAUAUAAGGAAAUUAAAUAUUUUAUUAGUUGAUAAUUAUCUUUAAUUAGAUCAAGAUAAUAGUCAUAUAUAUCAAAAAAUCGGAUUAGGGUUGAUCUAAUAUGAUUAAGGUAAGUUUCCAUAAGAUAAUCAUGAAGAAAUCCCGAAUCUGGCCAUUCCUGACGCUUGGACUCGCCGAGUGCACCAAGGGACUCGCCGAGUCAGGCCAACUCGCCGAGUCCAUGACUCAGAAACACAAAAAUCGAAUUUUGCAGUUUAGUUUCAGACAAUUAAGCAACAAUUUAAUGAAAACCAAGCUAGGCUCUGAUACCACUGAUGGGUUUUAGCCAUAAGAACUUUCCUAUGUGCGCAUGCAAAACCCUAAUGCUUGGAUCUAGGCUUUCUAAUUAAACAUGCUUUGAAUCCAAGACUUCUAAUGACUAAUUAGGUUAAAUAACAACAUUGAAACAGAUCUAGAACCAUACCUUUGAAUUCCUUGUUGAUCUUGUUGUCUUGGAGCUUCUAGAGUCACAAUUGUCACUCCUCUAAUGGCUUACAAACACCAAUAGCAAGGAAGAUGAUUUAGGAGAGAGGAGAGGGGAGGAAAUCGGCCAGGGUUCUCUUACUUUAGGUGAGGUGCCGAUUUCCCUUAGCCAUGGGGUCUAUUUAUACUUGUAGACUCCUUAAGGGUUACAACCUAAACCCUAAUUGGAUAAUCUUCUCUUAAGGCUAUCCAAAUCCAUUCCUUAGAUAAGCCUUGGACGAAUUUAGCUAUCCUUUAGCUUCUAGAAUUCGUCCCUAGUAUAUCUAUAAGGAUUUACAGUCUAAAGCUUAACUAUCAAACAAUUGACAGUUUAUACCCCUUUAUUUAAUUAAUCUCUUUAAGUCACCAAAUUAAUUCCUAAUUAAUUUAUGACUUAUAUUAAUAAAAUAAUAAUAAUAUUAUUCCUUAUAUUAUUCUUAUAAUAUAUUAAUAAUAUUCCUUCUCUCAUUAUAAAUCAUCCUGUCAAGUUGCUAUGGCGAAGGCAACCCAAAAGGACCAUACUCAACCGGGUCAAAUACUUGCCUAAUAUAGUUGUAGUCUUAAACACUAUUCCAAUAGGAGUAUCGAUGGGUCACCACAUGGGUUUAGCCCAAUAUGAAGAACUAUGGAUCAUUAGCCCACUAUAUAAGAAUGAAUGACUUACCAAAUCAAUCCUCAUUUAUUUAAUUAGUCUCUUUUGAUCACAAAAUUAAUUCCAAACUAAUUAUUGAUCAAUACUAAUUAAAUAAUUCAUAUUAAUAUAUUAGAACGUAUAAUAUAUUAAUAAACCAUAAAUGUCAUAUUCUCACAAAAGUCUAUCCAAAUUGUUCCGAUGCCAUGAAACCCAAAUGGACCAUGCCAAAUCGGGUCAAGUACAUACCAAAUAUAGUUAUUGACUUAGACACCUUAUCCAACAGUCUUCCACUUAGAUAAGUCUAAUAACAAUAGUUGCAAGUAAGACUUCAGGAUCCGACCAGCAAUCGUAACUCUUUAAAAGUCUUGCGAAACUACGUUGUGCCAUUUUAGAUAAGUGAUCAUAUAAUCCUUUGUUCAAGAUACCAGCCAGACAAAUACAUGGAACAACAUCGUACUUAUUAACCAACAGUUUGUUUCCUGAUUUCCGAUUUGUUUGACAUAGAACUUAAUCGAACACAUCAAUUUAGUUUUGACCAGUCCUGACACAUAACUUAAAACAAAAUCAUCGAUGGGCCCAAGAUAUCGAUUUUAAUCCUCCAAGGACUAAAAGGAACAGAUAAACUUCGACUCAUAUGCUUGUACUAACUAAUCAUCAAAUUGUACACAACAACACGUUUUAUAACAUCAAGUUACCGAUGCAUUUUUGUACUAUCGGUGUACAACCAAAUCAUAGUCAACAACUCAUAUCUCUUGGUUUGAAGACUUAUAUGCUAUUACCGUCUCACGAUCACUCGAGAUAAAUUCCAUGAAGUGAUACAAGUGAGCGUGGGUUGAAUCCAAUACUCAGAACUUAUGAGCACUCAUGAAUGUUGCAGCAACAAUUGCUAUGCCUAAUAAAAUUCAGACAAAUCUACAAAAACCAAUUCAUGACAGUCUUAUUUCAACAGCUACUUCCAAAGUAUGAUCGACUGUGGAUAGUUUGAAUAAUAUGAUAUACCAUAACAUAAUUAUUUUGGAAGUCAAAACAUGCAAAAUGAAACAAUAGUAAAUGAUUGACACAAGAUAGUACCAUACUAGUAAAUAAAACCACCUUUUAUUUAAACAUCAAUUGUCAAUUACAUUCCAACUAUUAAAAGUUUCGAAAACUAUCUAAUUACUAAAACUAAUAUCAUCCUUCAGCCCAAUGCACCUCGCAUGUUGUAAAUGUUUAACCAUGCACAGUCCCUUCGUGAGGGGAUCUGAUGGGUUCUCAUCUGAUGAUACCCUCUUUGCAACAAGGAGUCCUUAUUCUAUUCGAUGUCUAAUGAAGUGGUAUUUUCUGUCGAUGUGCCUGGAUCUGUUGUGAUCCCUUGGUUCCUUGGCUAGGACAACUGCGCUCUCAUUAUCACAUAAAAUCUCCAUAGGCUCCUUUAUAGUUGGUACAACUCCAAGGUCUCCAAUGAAGUUCUUCAGCCAUAUUGUCUCCUUCGCCGCCUCGCUUGCUGUUAUAUACUCUGAUUCGCAAGUUGAAUCAGCCACUGUCUAUUACUUUGAACUUGUCCAAGUAAUUGCUCCUCCAUUUAGGGUAAAGAUCCAGCUCGACUAAGAGCGGAAAUUAUCCCUGUCAGUCUGAAAGCUAGCAUCGCUAUACCCCACUACUCUCAAGUCAUCACUCCCACCAAGGGUAAGGACCCAGUCCUUAGUCCUCUGCAGGUCCUUGAGAAUGUUCUUUACCACAGUCCAGUGAGCCUUGCUAGGAUUCCCUUGAUAUCUGCUGACCAUGCUCAAAGAAAAGGCCACAUCAUGGCGAGUACAAGUCAUAGCAUACAUGAUUGAGCCUACAUCAUAAGCGUAUGGUACUCGACUCAUCUCAGCUAUCUCAGCCUCUAUACUUGGGCUCUAAAUCUUACUCAGUUUGGCAUUACUCUAGAUCAGUAAGUCACUUUUCUUGGAAUCCUGCAUUCUGAAUCUUUUCAACACCUUAUCCAAGUAGGUACUUUGACUAAGUCCAAUUAGUCUCUUACUCCUGUCUCUUAAUAUCCUUAUCCCUAGGAUAUAGGCAGCUUCUCCAAGGUCCUUCAUAGCGAAACACUUCCCAAGCCAGGACUUAACCUCCUACUUGGGAUGUCAUUUCCUAUGAGUAGUAUGUUAUCCACAUACAAUACCAAAAAGCAAACUAUACUCCCACUAGCCUUAACAUAUACACAUGAUUCAUCCUCGCUCCUCGAAAAUCCAAACUCUUUGACUUUAUCAUCGAAACAAAAAUUCGAUCUGCGAGAUGCUUGUUCUAAUCCAUAAAUGGAUUUCUCAAGCUUACACACUCUAUUAGGGUACUUUUGUAACAUCCCAAAACUCAAGUCUAAAAGUUUCAUUUUUGAAUUAAUAAUUUUUAAAACAUUUCACCAUAACAUUGUCAAUAAACCCACACAUUACAAAAUCAUAAUAUUGGGUCCCAAUCACGACAUCAAAAUAGUUAAAAUCAGAGUGCAAUCCCAGAAAAUCCGAUACGGAAUCAUGUGUGUGUGUGUGUGCGAUGCUACGCCGCCAGCUCCUUCCCCUUAGACGAAGAGGUACCUGAAACCAAAACAGAAACCGUAAGCACAAAGGUUAGUGAGUUCCCCCAUCAUACCACAUACCAUACAAUAUUGUCAGUAUCUUUCAACCGGUAACUUCCAUCGGUAUCUUUCAACCGGUAAUCGUCAUCGGUAUCUUUCAACCGGUAAUCAUCAUCGGUAUAUUUCAACCGGUAACUGUCAUCAAUAUCUUUCAACCGGUAACUGUCAUCAGUAUCUUUCAACCGGUAACUAGGGACUAUUCCACCCCCUACCACUAGCAUGCAACAUCAAGAUAUAACAUACAGUCAGGCAUAUUCAGGUACUGACCUACCCUUCGGUCCUAAGGACCACUGUCAAGGAAACUGAUCCUUACUAUACACAUAACAUAUCAUACAGAUAAAUCUCAUCACCAAGGCACAUAACCAGACCAAGAUAAUUAUCACAAAGAUAAUCAUCUCCUAACUAUUCCUCUUUGGUGGGCCGACAUUAUGGCCUUAGACCCACCCCUACUGGAAGGUAACUCACCUCGUACGAGUAGCAGCUGAAAAUCUGCGCUGGAAACCUCUGUCUGCUGUUGCUCCGGAAAUCCUCCGGCUAUAAUCCCUACAAAACACUCAGUCAGAAUCUAAUAUCUACUCUUAGGGUAAAUUGACUGUUUUACCCCUAACCAAGUCCAAGUCAAAGUCAACUUCCAGUUGACCCGACUCGCCGAGUUGGGACGUCAACUCGUCGAGUCCCUACCCUUUACUCGUCCUUAUCCAUGACUCAACUCGUCGAGUUCCCCUUUUUUAUGAACAUCAAUGAACCUUCAUCCGACUCGUCGAGUUGUAUGAACAACUGGUCGAGUUCACCUUCAUAUGAUGAACAAGUCCUGACCUUGACUCGCCGAGUUGUAUGAACAACUCGUCGAGUUCAUCUUCAAACAUAAGAAGAUUGCCUUGGACUUGCCGAGUCUGUUCUAGCACUCGUCGAGUCCCAUAAGCUCCAGGUCUAAAACUAAGUCCAAUGCGUUGGAUCACUCCUUCUGUCCUGCUAAAACCCUUCUAACACCCAACUGAGUUCUUUUGACCCUCAAAAAAUAUGGGACUCAAAGCCUUGGACUCGUCGAGUCCUGAAGAAUGGACUCGCCAAGUCGAUAACGUCCACACCCUAAAUCCUCGAUUUGAUGUACAACACUUGUCCAAAUGAUAGAUCCAGGCCCCUAAGCUCGAUCUAGCACGUAAAGUUAUGAACUUUACGUGCAUGCAUGGGACUUUUGAGCCAAAAAGGCCCUAAAAUGGCUCUUUUUUUGCAUGGGGCCUUCCUUGGGUGCAAAAGCAACCCAAAUCUGUCUUGUGACUCUUCCCAAGUGCUAGAUCUGAAGUAUCGACCCCCAACCAUGUUUGCAAAUCAUGGUUGGUCACCUCAUAUGGACCCACAAAAAUCACUCAAAAGCCUUAGAUCUUGCACCAAAACACUUAGGGUUUGCUAUGGAGGGUCUUUGGGAGCAUUAUGGAUGAGUGGUGGCUGAAAGAGAUGAUUAAAUAGGGUGCAAACCCUCAUAUUAGGGUUUUGUCCAGUUAGAGCCUACUCGUUGAGUUUGGCCGCGGACUCGACGAGUCCAUCACUUAAGUCCCGUGUCCAAUCCCACUCCUACUCGAUGAGUUGAGCCUUCAACAAGCCGAGUCCCAGGCCAAAAAUGCAAAAUACAACAAAAUAAAUUACAUACCAGGAACCAAGUGCUACAACUUUGCAUCAACAAAACCCUAUGGAUGACUCAUGUAAACCCUCAGCGAACAUUCCAUUAAGGAAAGCAGUUUUGACAUCCAUUUGCCAUAUUUCAUAAUCAUGAAAUGCAGCUAUGGAUAACAUAACCCUAAUAGACUUAAUCUUCGCUACUAGUGAGAAGGUUUCAUCAUAAUCAACUCCCAGAGUUUGAGUAAAGCCCUUCGCAACCAGUCGUACUUUAUAAGUGUUUACAUUCCCAUCCAUGUCGGUCUUCUUCUUGAAGAUCCAUUUGCACCCAACUGUCUUACGACCCGAUACAUUGUCAACCAAGUUCCAAAAUUGAUUGUCAUACAUGGACUGAAUCUCACUAUCCAAAGCCUCUAUCCAUUUGGCAGAUUCAAGGCUUGCCAUGGCUUCCUUGAAGUUGUUAGGUUCAUCCAAAUUUACCAUUGUGCUAUCACUGAUAAAUGCAUCACCUUUUGUAGUAAUAUGGAAACCAUAAUAAAAACCAGGUGUGUUCCCAACUCUUGUGGAACGCCUCAGAGGUACAGACUCAUCAAUUGGCUCAAUAGGAGUUUCCUCCUCAGGUUGAUUACUAGUGUUUGAGGUUCCUUUACCGCUUGACUCUUGAAGUUCUUCAAGGUCAAUUUGCCUCCCCCUGUUUCUAUUAGGGUGCAAAGUCACGCUUGGAUGAGGCUUUACCCACUUGUAUGUGUAAUGAGUUGCCUUUCCUUUAUAAGGAAGUGAGUGGCACUCAUUUUAUGUAAGGAACCAUUUUGGAGUGUUAGACUAGAGAGAGAAACUUUGUACAAACCCAUUUGUAUAUUCUUUCUAGAUCUAAUAAGAGCUUACAAAGAUUUAUUUACUCCUUGUGUUCAUUAUUUUACAUGAUGAUUCACUAGAUCUUUCAUAUUCCACACAUGCCAUCAUAAUCAACACCACUUCAAUUGGUAUCAUAGCAGGAAUCGUAACUGCGAUCUGAUUUUCAGUUGAAUCUUUUAUUUUUGAGUCGUAAAGUUUAACUCAAAAAUUUCCGCACUAUUAGAUUCAGAAAAUCAUCUAUGAUCAUCAGUUUUGAUUUGAUUGGCAUAGUCGAGUGUUUGAUUUUGAGUUUCUGAUUAAUUCAUUCAAUCAUAUUCAAAUUUAUUCAAGUUUUCUGAAAAUUCUUAUUCGUACGAUAAUGGCGAACUUCAAUAUGAACACAAUGACUUCUUUCUCUCAUUUGUUAGGAUCUUCCACAAAGAUUUCUAUGUUGAUUCCGAAGUAUUAUGACCAAUGGGCUGAUCACCUGGAGGAUUAUCUAAAUGGUUUGGAUGAAGAACUAUGGAGUUGUAUCUCAGGAACUGCUCAACCUCCAUUGAAUGUUCAAAACAUUGGAUCUUCAAAUUCCACACCGGCUGUUGAUGAACAAUCCACAAGGAAGAAGAAAAAUGAAAAACGUUGUCUGAGAGAAUUAAGAGGUGCACUGCCUCCUGUGGUUUACAAUUACGUGUGUGGUUGUAAAAGUGCAAAGGAAAUCUAGAAUACUCUCAAGGAGAAAUAUCAGGAAAGCGAGAAGACUAAAAUCAAUUCAGUUAACCAAUGUCUUGUGGAACUGAAAGAAUUCAUACAAAAGGAGAGUGAAACAAUUGAAGUUUACUAUGAUCGCCUAAAUGAGCUGAUUUAUUAGUACAAUCGAUAUGGAAUCACGAGGUAUGCUAUGGAAUUUAAUCUUACAUUCGUUAUGGGACUCCGUAGAGAAUGGAGGAGUGUUAGCAUGAUGGUAAAGAAUCAACAGAGUUUCUACACAUCAUCUCUAAAUGAUUUGUACAAUCAACUGAAAACUCACAAAAGUGAGAUGAAUGAAAUGACAUAAGAGUCGAAGCUCAGUCUGGGAGGUCCUUUAGCACUUGUCUCUAAAGUGUCUGAAAAGGAAGCAGUCGAAAAUUAUGAUUCUGAUGAUGAAGAGGGGUUCACCAUGAAUUCAGAUGAUGAGGCAAUAACUUUGUAUUUGAACAACAGAGUCAAAAAGUUUUUCAAGAAACCAUUUAAUCCAAAAAUGAAGCAAAGUGAGGGAAAGGAAGUUUCGUAAAAUAUACUGUUAGAGAGGAGAAAAAGAAGUUUGAUAAGAAUGAUGGGAAUGUUGCCGAGGGUAAGAAUGAGAGGAAGUCGAAAGGAGACUCGGGUGUGGAUUGCCAUUAUUGCAACGGAGAAAAUCAUAUAGCAAAUGAUGGUGUGCUUCGUAAGAAGGAUGAAAGAAAGAACAAAGUGAAGGACGAAGCAUACUAUGCUGAGAAGCUAGAGGAAGUGAGAGCUAAGGCGAAGAAUAUGUCUUUGGUGGCUAGAGGUGAACAGGAGGAUGACGGUACUUAUCAAAUUUGGUCUUCGGGCUCAGAUGAUGAAGAAAUGUGUAAUCCUACGCAUGGUGCCAUGUAUGUGAAGCUGGAGGAAGAUGAUGGGCUUUAGCCAUAAGAACUUUCCUAUGUGCGCAUGCAAAACCCUAAUGCUUGGAUCUAGGCUUUCUAAUUAAACAUGCUUUAAAUCCAAGACUUCUAAUGACUAAUUAGGUUAAAUAACAACAUUGAAACAGAUCUAGAACCAUACCUUUGAAUUCCUUGUUGAUCUUGUAGUCCUGGAGCUUCUAGAGUCACAAAUGUCACUCCUCUAAUGGCUUACAAACACCAAUAGCAAGGAAGAUGUUUUAGGAGAGAGGAGAGGGGAGGAAAUCGGCCAGGGUUCUCUUACUUUAGGUGAGGUGCCGAUUUCCCUUAGCCAUGGGGUCUAUUUAUACUUGUAGACUCCUUAAGGGUUACAAUCUAAACCCUAAUUGGAUAAUCUUCUCUUAAAGCUAUCCAAAUCCAUUCCAUAGAUAAGUCUUGGACGAUUUUGAAGCUAUCCUAGCUUCUAGAAUCCGUCCCUUGUAUAUCUAUAUGGAUUUACAGUCUAAAGCUUAACUAUCAAACAAUUGACAGUUUAUACCCCUUUAUUUAAUUAAUCUCUUUAAGUCACCAAAUUAAUUCUAAUUAAUUCUAUGACUUAUAUUAAUCAAAUAACAAUAUAUUAUUCUUUAUAUUAUUCUCAUAAUAUAUUAAUAAUAUUUAUUCUCUCUUAAUAAAUCAUCCUAUCAAGUUGCUAUGGUGAAGGCAACCCAAAAGGACCAUGCACAACCGGGUCAAAUACUUGCCUAAUAUAGUUGCAGCCUUAGACACUAUUCCAACAGUCUCCCACUUGGAUAAGUCUAGUAACUAUAUGCACAAGUACAAUUCGGUUUGCAAUCGUAGCUCUCAAAGACGCUGUCAAACUCUGAUCUAAUCAAUCUUGUCCUUUAGAUAAGGGAUCGUACAGUCCUCUGUUAGAUAUCAUGCUGACAAUCCUAUGGAAUGGUUAGUCAAGCAUUUAGGUUUCUCGAUCUCUGAUUUAUUUGACAUAGAACUUAAUCGAACACAUCAAUUCAGUUCUGACCGGGCCCGGCACAUAAGUCAAAUCAAAUCAUCGAGCGGCCGAGAUAUCGCUUUUACCUUCUUAGAUAAAAGUUACAGAUAAACUUCGACUUAUAUGCAUUUACUUAUUCAUUAACCAACUAUACACAACAAUACGUUUUAUAACACCAAGUUACUGAUGCGUUUUCGUAUUAUCAAUGUACAAUCAAUUAACAAAUAAUAAACCAUAUAUCUAGGUUUUAAGACUAUAUGAUAUUAUCGUCUUGCGAUCACCUUUUAUAUCGUAUUCCAUAAGGUGAUUCCAGCAAGCGCGGGUUUAUUCCAAUGCUCAAAACUAGUUCAUAAGCACUCAUGAACGUUGCAGCAAUCCUUUGCUAUGUCUAACACCAUUUAGACAUUCUACACACCAAUUCAUGACAAUCUUCUUUCAUAUCUACUCCCAACAUAUGAACGAUUGUGGACCAUUUGAACAAUUCGAUUAUUCCUAAUAAACUCAAUUAUUCUGGAAGUCAAAACAUGCAAAGUGAAACAAUAGCUAAACAAUUAACAUAAGAUAGUAACAUUACUCAUAAAUAAAACUCCUUUAUUUAAUCAUCAAAUGUCAAUUACAUUUAUCUAUUACACGUUUCUAAUACUAUCUAAUCUAUGCUAAUAUCAUCCUUCAGCCCAAUACUCCUAGCAUGCUGCAAGUGCUUAACCCUACUCAGUCCCUUCGUAAGCGGAUCUGCUGGGUUAUCUUCUGAUGAUAUCCUCUUCACUACGAGUUGUCCUUCUUCUACACGAUGUCUAAUGAAGUGAUAUUUUCUGUCGAUAUGUCUUGAUCUACCAUGAUCCCUCGGUUCCUUGGUCAAGGCAACCGCGCCUUCGUUAUCACAGAAAAUCUCCAUUGGCUCCUUUAUGGCAGGUACAACUCCAAGAUCACCGAUGAAGUUCUUUAGCCAUAUUGCCUCCUUCGACGCUUCGCUCGCUGCAAUGUACUCUGAUUCGCACGUUGAAUCAGCUACGGUUUCCUGCUUGGAACUCUUCCAUGUCACUGCUCCUCCAUUUAGGGUAAAGACCCAGCCCGACUGCGAACGGUAGUUGUCCCUGUCGGUCUGAAAACUGGCGUCACUAUACCCUCGCACCUUCAAGUCAUCACUCCCUCCGAGGACUAAGAACCAUUCCUUCGUCCUCCGAAGGUACUUAAGGAUAUUCUUCACCGCAAUCCAAUGUGCUUUGCCAGGAUUCCCUUGAUAUCUGCUAACCAUGCUCAAAGCGAAGGCUACAUCAGGGCGAGUACAAGUCAUAGCGUACAUGAUUGAGCCAACUGCGGAAGCGUAUGGUACUCGGCUCAUUUCUGCUAUCUCAGCUUCGGUACUCGGACUUUGAGUCUUACUCAAUUUGGCAUUACUUUGUAUCGGUAGUUCUCCCUUCUUUGAGUUUUCCAUACUAAAACGUUUUAGUACCUUCUCUAAGUAAGUAUUCUGACUAAGUCCAAUUAGUCUCUUACUUCUUUCUCUUACUAUCCUUAUUCCCAAAAUGUAAGAAGCCUCUCCGAGGUCCUUCAUAGCGAAGCACUUCCCGAGCCAGGACUUAACUUCCUGCAGAGUCGGGAUGUCGUUUCCUAUGAGUAAUAUGUCAUCGACAUAUAGAACGAGGAAGCUUACUAUACUCCCACUGGCUUUGACAUAUACACAAGAUUCGUCUUCGCUUCGUACAAAUCCAAACUCUUUGACUUUCUCAUCGAAGCAAAGAUUCCAUCUGCGAGACGCUUGCUUAAGUCCAUAAAUGGACUUCUCAAGCUUACACACUCUAUUCGGAUGCUUCGGAUCCACAAACCCCUCUGGCUGAGCCAUGUAAACAUCCUCAGCCAACUUUCCGUUAAGGAAAGCGGUCUUGACAUCCAUUUGCCAAAUCUCAUAAUCAUGAAAUGCGGCAAUUGCUAGCAUCACUCUAAUAGAUUUAAUCUUCGCAACUGGUGAGAAGGUCUCAUCAUAGUCAACUCCGGGAGUUUGAGUAAAGCCCUUCGCAACCAAUCGCGCUUUAUAUGUGUGUACGUUUCCAUCCACGUCGGUCUUCUUCUUGAAGAUCCAUUUGCACCCAACGGUCUUACGUCCGGGCACAUAAUCAACCAAAUUCCAAACUUGGUUAUCAUACAUGGAUUGGAUCUCGCUAUCCAUUGCCUCUUUCCAUUUUGCAGACUCCGGGCCUGCCAUGGCUUCCUUAUAGCUAUUAGGUUCAUCAAGAUUUAUUAGUGUACCAUCACUAAUAUACGUGUCCCCUUCGGUAGUAAUAUGAAAACCAUAAAACUGGGGUUGAACUCUAACUCUAUCGGAACGUCUAAGAGGUAAGGAUUCGUCAAUCGGUUCAACCGGAGUUUCCUCCUCGGGUUGAGUGCCAGCGGUAGAGGUUCCUUCAUCUAUCGACUCUUGAAUCUCUUCAAGCUCGAUUUGCCUCCCACUGUCUCCUUGGCUUAUGAGUUCUCGCUCUCGGAAAACUCCUCUCCUCGCAACGAAGACAACAUUGUCCUUCGGUCUAUAGAAGAGAUAUCCAAAGGAUGUCUGCGGGUAGCCGAUGAAAAUACAUCGCUCACUUCGAGGUUCAAGCUUGUCGUGAGUAUCUCGUCUUACGAAAGCCUCGCAACCCCAAACCUUGAUAUGUGCCAACGAGGGAGCUUUCCCUGUCCACAUCUCGUGAGGUGUUUUGGCAACCUUCUUAGUAGGGACUCGGUUAAGGAUAUGGGCGGCAGUCUCUAAGGCAUACCCCCAAAAAGAGAUAGGUAGUGAAGCACGACUCAUCAUAGAGCGAACCAUAUCCAAUAAGGUUCGAUUACGCCUUUCUGCCACACCAUUCAACUGCGGUGUCCUAGGAGGCGUCAAUUGCGAAACUAUUCCACACUCCUUGAGAUAAUCGUGGAAUUCAAGACUUAGGUACUCUCCUCCUCGAUCGGAUCGAAGCAUCUUGAUUUUCCUGCCCAAUUGAUUCUCCACUUCAUUCUUGAACUCUUUGAACUUUUCAAAGGUGUCUGACUUUUGCUUGAUUAAGUAGAUAUACCCAUAUCUACUAUAGUCAUCGGUAAAAGUCACAUAGAAGCGGUUCCCAUCCUUCGUGGUUGAUCUAAACGGUCCACAUACAUCGGUAUGUAUUAGGUCCAAUAGACCCUCGCCCCUUUCACAUGUACUCGUGAAGGGUGACUUAGUCAUCUUUCCAAGCAAACAAGACUCGCAUGUGUCAUCUUCCCUAAGGUCGAAUGACUCCAACACUCCAUCCUUUUGGAGUUGGGCUAUGCGUUUCUUGUUGACAUGUCCAAGACGACAAUGCCACAAGGAUGCUUUAUCCAUACUAGUGGAAGAAUCAAUAUUCAAAACAUCAUUUCCUAAGUUAUCAACAAUCAUAACGGUUUCAUAUAUUCCAUUACAUGGUAUAGCUUCAAAGUAAAAGACACCAUUUAGAUAAGCCAAAAUAGAACCAUUCUCAUUAUUAAAAGAAAAUCUAAAUCCUUGUCUAUAUAAACCAUGAAAUGAAAUGAUGUUUCUUGCCAUUUCUGGCGAAUAGCAACAAUUGUUCAAAUCUAAAACUAAACUAUUCCUAAGCACUAAGGAAUACACUCCAAUCUUGGUCACAGGCGACGAUCUUCUGUUCCCCAUGAUUAGAUUGAUCCUUCCUUGCUCCACAUCCCUACUUCUUCUUAGUCCCUGCACAUUAGAACAAAUGUGGUAACCACAACCGGUAUCAAGAACCCAAGAAAUAGCAUGAUUAGAAUCGUUAGAUUUAAUUGUGUAUAUACCUGCGAAAGAUGGCUUGAUCUUGACUUCUUUGAUGGCUUGCAGGUAUUCUGGGCAGCUUCUCUUCCAACGCUUAGCGGGAUCAACUUUGGUCCCACUAGAAGAGGCACCAUCUUGGGCUUUGACCUUGCGAUAGUUCUUAGAUGAAGCUUUCCUCUUCUUUCCCUUCCCUUGUCCAAUAGCCAAGACAGGAGCAGCGGGCGGAUUGGGAGUAGGUGCAACAGACUUGUCCUUGAAGUUGCUCUCAGCGACCCUCAAGAGACCUUGGAGUUUGCUUAGGGUGACCUCUUCUUUGUUCAUGUGGUAGGUCAUCCUAAAUUGGUUGUACAUCGGAGGCAAAGAGUGAAGCACCAUGUCGAUCGCCAAGUCUUCCCCGAAGUCAACAUUUAACUUGCGAAGGCGGUCGACAUACCUUUGCAUCUUUUGCAGGUGCACGGUAAGAGAUUCUCCAUGACCCAUCUUAGCGGAAAUCAUGUUAGUGAAAAUCUCAUAACGCUCUUGUCUCGCGUUUUGGUGGUACCUCUCCAAUAAGUCUUGGUGCAUCUCGUACGGGUACAUGUCCUCGUAGGACUUUUGGAAUUCGGAGUUCAUGGUAGCAAUCAUGAUGCAAUGUACCUUCGUUGCAUCUCGCUCAUGAGUCUCAAAAGCGGUGAUUUCGGCUGGAGUAGAGAUUGCAUGGUUGAUUUUCUCGAGCAUCUCAUCGAGGACAUACUCCUUAUCCUCGUAGUGAGCAAUGGUGCGAAUGUAUCUUAUCCAUUCGCUAAAGUUCGUUCCAUCGAAGGUGACCUUUUGGCAAAGGCUCAUCAACAUGAAAGAACUAGCAGCAGUGUUGUUUGCAUUCGACAUCUACAAAUAGAAAAGACAAAGAUAGAUUAGAAUAUGAAUCCCUAAUUAUCACCCAAUAAGAAAAAAUUAGGGCUAGGAUCCAACAACAAUAUUUACAUAUUAGAAAAGGGAUGCCGUAAUCUAACAUGCAAAUAAAUUGAAGGUAAGUGAAUGACGAUUCACUAAUUCUCCAUCACAAAAACUUAAACUAUUAGUCCUAAGUGUUUUUGAGAAUUCCUAGGUUCGGAUGAGAUUCAUUGAAACUAUUCAAUGGCAUGUUUAAAUCUCGAUAUGCCCCUCUUGUUUGUGACUGGGAUGCCGAGGAUCACAAAGCGGGUGUGAAUUACCAUGCAAAUUCACAUGGUGCCUUCAUUGUAACGAUCACCUAUUCGAUGUGCCGGUAAACCACACACGCUCCAUCGAACUAUGAUAAACAAUGAAUCACCCUUUGCCACCUUCGCUUAGAACCAAUUAGUGUGCCGGUAAACCACACACGCUCCACUAACUUCUUAGCAAGGGUGCAAAGUGUAAUUUCAUGGGAUUGCAUCAAUUCACUUUUCCUAAAGUAACUAAGAUUGGGAAAUUUUAAAAAAUGUGUAGUUACUUUGUAUUACUUAUUAUACUUUUAAUGAGAGGAUGAGGUUGCCCUAUCCUACCCGUUCGGCUAACGACCCUCCACCAAUCAAGCAAGCGGUGGGUGUGAGUGUACACCCAUUAAGCGCCAUUUUAUAGGCCGCAACCUUAUACCCACCUUAUAGAUCGGCUUCGUGAAUGAGGCCUACUAACGGUAAGACUAGCAUUUAGU